UGGUGGGGUAAGAGCCUACCAAGGCGACGACGGUUAGCCGGCGUGAGAGCGUGGCCGGCCACAAGGACACUGAGAUACGGGUCCUACUCCUACGGGAGGCAGCAGUGCGGAAUUUUAGAUAAUGGAGGCAACUCUGAUCUAGCGACGCCGCGUGCAGGAAGAAGGUCUUCGGAUUGUAAACUGCUGUGGUAAGGGAAAAAUGUCAUGUAGAGUGGAAAGCUACAUGGAGGGAUGGUACCUUACUAGAAAGCCCCGGCUAACUACGUGCCAGCAGCCGCGGUAAUACGUAGGGGGCGAGCGUUACCCGGAAUCACUGGGCGUAAAGGGAGCGUAGGUGGCCUGACAUGUCAACUGUGAAAACCCGGAGCUCAACUCCGGACUUGCAGUUGAAACUGCCAGGCUUGAGGACGGUAGAGGAAGACGGAACUGCCAGUGUAGGGGUAAAAUCCUUAGAUAUUGGCAGGAACGCCGGUGACGAAGGUGGUUUUCUGGGCCGGUUCUGACACUGAUGCUCGAAAGCCAGGGGAGCGAACGGGAUUAGAU
rnacentral:rRNA from 1 species